rnacentral:tRNA from 1 species
GCCUGGGUGGCUCAGUCGGUUGAGCGUCCGACUUCGGCUCAGGUCAUGAUCUCGCGGUCUGUGAGUUCAAGCCCCGCGUCAGGCU